GAUGAACGCUGGCGGCGUGCCUAAUACAUGCAAGUCGAGCGAACAGACGAGGAGCUCGCUCCUCUGACGUUAGCGGCGGACGGGUGAGUAACACGUGGAUAACCUACCUAUAAGACUGGGAUAACUUCGGGAAACCGGAGCUAAUACCGGAUAAUAUAUUGAACCGCAUGGUUCAAUAGUGAAAGACGGUUUUGCUGUCACUUAUAGAUGGAUCCGCGCCGCAUUAGCUAGUUGGUAAGGUAACGGCUUACCAAGGCAACGAUGCGUAGCCGACCUGAGAGGGUGAUCGGCCACACUGGAACUGAGACACGGUCCAGACUCCUACGGGAGGCAGCAGUAGGGAAUCUUCCGCAAUGGGCGAAAGCCUGACGGAGCAACGCCGCGUGAGUGAUGAAGGUCUUCGGAUCGUAAAACUCUGUUAUUAGGUAAGAACAAAUGUGUAAGUAACUAUGCACGUCUUGACGGUACCUAAUCAGAAAGCCACGGCUAACUACGUG
rnacentral:rRNA from 1 species